UGGGUGUAUAGCUUAAUUGGUAGAGCAUUAGGCUUUUAACUUAAUGGUCGCAGGUUCAAGUCCUGCUAUACCCAA
rnacentral:tRNA from 1 species